rnacentral:rRNA from 1 species
UUGACCUCAAAUCAGGUAGGACUACCCGCUGAACUUAAGCAUAUCAAUAAGCGGAGGAAAAGAAACUAACAAGGAUUCCCCUAGUAACUGCGAGUGAAGCGGGAAAAGCUCAAAUUUAAAAUCUGGCGGUCUUUGGCUGUCCGAGUUGUAAUCUAGAGAAGUGCUAUCCGCGCUGGACCGUGAAAAAUUUCUCUGAA